AUUUAUUAUGAAUGGAGAUAAAUUUAUCAUUUCCCUUGAUGAGAAUGGAAGGAAGGUAGUGGCCGUACAAUGAACAAAAGAUUAAGGUAUUUCCAUUUACUUAGUGGCAUCUAACCUAUAUCUUUG